UGAGUAAUUUUCCUCAAUAUACCUACAAGAAAAUAUCAGUAUCAAUGAAGCUCACACAUAUCCACAUAUUAAAUCUCUAGUAUGGACAGUAGGAACAGUAAAAAAUAAAAUGAAUAGACAUUACUAGUAUGCUCCCCCUCUCUUAAAAUGGAUAAUCUGGACAAAAUGAGAUAAAGAACUUUGAGACACCUAAACAUCAUUGCCUAGUGCAGGGAACUUCAAUACCUCUAGAUGAGAUAUUUCAGCUCCACUUGGCAUAUUAUAUUUAACAAAAGGACAUUCUUUUCUACAGUUUGGUAAUCUAACAUGAUGCCAUUAGUUGCACAUUUUCUUUAGAUCUAAACUCCAACACAGUGCUCUGUUUGAUUGCUUAGACAAGAGGGAAAACUGACAGAGAAAGAGAGAUUUGUACUCUUUGAGCAGGCAACUUAUUGAUUAAGCCAAGAGUUGCACUAAAUUCAGUGAGCUAAGAAUUAUAGAAUAUGAUAAAUGGUCAACACAAUUCAAAUUUAAUGAAGCUUUAAUCUCUGUAAUUUCUUGUUUCUCAACAAUUAAACAUGGCAUUAAAGAAAUGCCAAAUCAUUACCGAACUGCGAUUCUACAUUAUUUGAAUGUGUUAGAAUAUAGCCAUGGAGAAAUAAAGGAGUCAAGGAGAUUCGUAUGGACAACCAUAUACAGCAGUUAAACAA
rnacentral:misc_RNA from 1 species